rnacentral:rRNA from 1 species
AUUGAACGCUGGCGGCAUGCCUAACACAUGCAAGUCGAGCGGAUGAAGGGAGCUCUCUCCUGUAUUCAGCGGCGGACGGGUGAGUAAGGCCUAGGAAUCUGCCUGGUAUUGAGGGAUAACGUCCGGAAACGGGCGCUAAUACCACAUACGUCCUGAUGGAGAAAGUGGGGGAUCUUCGGACCUCACGCUAUCAGAUGAGCCUAGUUCGUAGUAGCUAGUUGGUGGGGUAAAGGCCUACCAAGGCGACGAUCCGUAACUGGUCUGAGAGGAUGAUCAGUCACACUGGAACUGAGACACGGUCCAGACUCCUACGGGAGGCAGCAGUGGGGAAUCUUGGGCAAUGGGCGAAAGCCUGAUCCAGCCAUGCCGCGUGUGUGAAGAAGGUCUUCGGAUUGUAAAGCACUUUUAGUUGGGAAGAAAAACAGUAUGUUUAACCCUUGAUGUUUUGACGGUACCAACAGAAUAAGCCACGGCUAACUUCGUG